rnacentral:sRNA from 1 species
UUACGAAUAGCACCUGCCGAUGGUCCCA